rnacentral:rRNA from 1 species
UAAGGGCAUUUGGUGGAUGCCUUGGCAUGCACAGGCGAUGAAGGACGUGAUACGCUGCGAAAAGCCGUGGGGAGCUGCGAAUGAGCUUUGAUCCAUGGAUCUCCGAAUGGGGCAACCCACCUUAAAUGCUUGGGAAAUCUGUUCUGUUGGCUUUUGGUUUGGUCGAAGCGAAUGCUUCGCAAGGCCAAGGGCCGUCGCCGGUUAUCCGGCGCGCUGUCCGCAGGCCUUUGGCCGUGAGGACAAACAGGAGAGGUUUCCAAGCAUUGUGAUAAGGUAUCUACACCUGAAUACAUAGGGUGUAAGAAGCGAACGCAGGGAACUGAAACAUCUAAGUACCUGCAGGAAAGGACAUCAACCGAGACUCCGCAAGUAGUGGCGAGCGAACGCGG